rnacentral:rRNA from 1 species
GUGGGGAAUUUUGCGCAAUGGGCGAAAGCCUGACGCAGCAAUGCCGCGUGAGUGAAGAAGGAAUUAGUUUCGUAAAGCUCUUUAUCUCAGGGAAGAUAAUGACGGUACCUGAGGAAGAAGCACCGGCUAACUACGUGCCAGCAGCCGCGGUAAUACGUAGGGUGCGAGCGUUGUUCGGAAUUACUGGGCGUAAAGGGUGUGUAGGCGGACUGUUAAGCUAGAGGUGAAAGCCCAGGGCUCAACCCUGGAGGUGCUUCUGGAACUGGCAGACUAGAGAGGGUCAGAGGUCAGUGGAAUUCCUGGUGGAGAGGUGAAAUUCGUUGAUAUCAGGAGGAACACCGGCGGCGAAGGCGGCUGGCUGGGGCCACUCUGACGCUGAGGCACGAAAGCGUGGGGAGCAAACGGG